rnacentral:rRNA from 1 species
UGGGGAAUAUUGGACAGUGGGCGAAAGCCUGAUCCAGCCAUGCCGCGUGUGUGAAGAAGGUCUUCGGAUUGUAAAGCACUUUAAGUUGGGAGGAAGGGCAUUAACCUAAUACGUUAGUGUUUUGACGUUACCGACAGAAUAAGCACCGGCUAACUCUGUGCCAGCAGCCGCGGUAAUACAGAGGGUGCAAGCGUUAAUCGGAAUUACUGGGCGUAAAGCGCGCGUAGGUGGUUUGUUAAGUUGGAUGUGAAAUCCCCGGGCUCAACCUGGGAACUGCAUUCAAAACAGACUGACUAGAGUAUGGUAGAGGGUGGUGGAAUUUCCUGUGUAGCGGUGAAAUGCGUAGAUAUAGGAAGGAACACCAGUGGCGAAGGCGACCACCUGGACUAAUACUGACACUGAGGUGCGAAAGCGUGGGGAGCAAACA